GAUGAACGCUGGCGGCGUGCCUAAUACAUGCAAGUCGAGCGAACAGACGAGGAGCUUGCUCCUCUGACGUUAGCGGCGGACGGGUGAGUAACACGUGGAUAACCUACCUAUAAGACUGGGAUAACUUCGGGAAACCGGAGCUAAUACCGGAUAAUAUAUUGAACCGCAUGGUUCAAUAGUGAAAGACGGUUUUGCUGUCACUUAUAGAUGGAUCCGCGCCGCAUUAGCUAGUUGGUAAGGUAACGGCUUACCAAGGCAACGAUGCGUAGCCGACCUGAGAGGUGAACGGCCAACCCUGAAACGGAACCCCGGUCCAGCCCCCGACGGGGGCCGGAAGUAGGGAUUCUCCCGCAAGGGCGGAAGCCUUAAGGGACCACCGCGGGGGGAGGAAGAAGGUUCUCCGAACCGUAAACCUCUUUUUUAGGGAAAAAAAAAAUGUUUAAGUAACUAUCCCCGUUUGAAGGGCCCUAAACAAAAAACCCCCGCCAACCUACG
rnacentral:rRNA from 1 species